GACGGACGCUGGCGGCGUGCUUAACACAUGCAAGUCGAACGGGCCUGCCUGGCUUUGGUUGGGUGGGUGAGUGGCGAACGGGUGAGUAACACGUGAGUAACCUGCCCUCUUCUCUUGGAUAACUGCUUGAAAGGGCGGCUAAUACGGGAUGUUCUGGCUGCCUCGCAUGGGGUGGUUUGGAAAGAUUCGGCCUGGUUUUGGUUGUUUUGGUGGGGGAUGGGCUCGCGGCUUAUCAGCUUGUUGGUGGGGUGAUGGCCUACCAAGGCGGUGACGGGUAGCCGGCCUGAGAGGGUGGACGGUCACACUGGGACUGAGACACGGCCCAGACUCCUCGGGAGGCAGCAGUGGGGGAUUUUGCACAAUGGGCGCAAGCCUGAUGCAGCGACGCCGCGUGAGGGAUGGAGGCCUUCGGGUUGUGAACCUCUGUCGCCGGUGAUGUAGGCUCUGCUUUGUGGGUGG
rnacentral:rRNA from 1 species